GUGAAGGGUGGGCGUGUAAGAGGACGCUAAAGGCACGUCUCUAGCAGGUGCCAGUCGCCAAUGAGGUGAAGGGUGGGCGUGUAAUAGGACGCUAAAGGCACACCCCUAGCAGGUACCAGUCGCCAAUGAGUGAAGGGUGAGCGUGUAGGAGGUGAAGAGAAAAACGUGAGUACAUUGUAAAAUGGCUACAUAAAGUACAACCGAACUCA